AUUGAACGCUGGCGGUGCGCCUAAUGCAUGCAAGUCGAACGAGCGACCCGGGCUUGCCCGGUUAGCUAGUGGCGGACGGCUGAGUAACACGUGAAUAAUCUACCCUCGAGACUGGGAUAACCUGGUGAAAACUAGGCUAAUACCGGAUAAGACCACGUCCCGCAAGGGAUGCGGGAAAAGGAGGCUCAACCUCCACUUGGGGAUGAGUUCGCGGACCAUUAGUUUGUUGGUGAGAUAACAGCUCACCAAGGCUACGAUGGUUAGCCGGCCUGAGAGGGUGAACGGCCACACUGGAACUGAGACACGGUCCAGACUCCUACGGGAGGCAGCAGUGGGGAAUAUUGCGCAAUGGGCGAAAGCCUGACGCAGCAACACCGCGUGAGCGAUG
rnacentral:rRNA from 1 species